rnacentral:rRNA from 1 species
CCCCUAUUCUCAGUUGCCAGCACAUAAUGGUGGGCGACUCUGUGGAGACUGCCCGGGUUUAACCGGGGAGGGAAGGUGGGGAUGACGUCAAGUCAUCAUGGCCCUUACGCCUAGGGCUACACACGUACUACAAUGGUGGGUACAAAGGGCAGCAAACCGCGAGGUCGAGCGAAUCUCAAAAAACCCAUCAUAGUCCGGAUUGCAGUCUGCAACUCGACUGCAUGAAGUUGGAAUCGCUAGUAAUCCCGGAUCAGCAUGCCGGGGUGAAUACGUUCCCGGGCCUU